CCGGCUGCGCCGCCAGCUCGCCCGCAUCACCUCCGCCGGCGCGUCUCGUGUCGUGCUCGCCGGACUCUCCAAUGUCUACGCCGACUACAUCGCCACGCCUGAAGAGUAUCAGGCACAGCGGUACGAAGCAGCGUCCACAAUAUUUGGACCUCACACACUCGACAUCUACCUCAACAAGUACGUCGAGCUCACUCGUGCACUAUUUGAGGGCAGGUCAGUGGACCCUGGCCCGCAGCCGCCAGACUUCAGUGACCAGCUGAUCACCCUGGUGCCGCCAGUGUUGUGGGACGCCGCACCCUGGGGCAAGGAGUUCGGGGACUGUCUCGUCCAGCCACAGAAGCAGUACAGCCAUGGAGACACCGUCACUGCUACUUUUGUAAGAGUUUUUUUUUGUUAGGCAACAGUU